GCCAGGAUAACUCAGUUGGUUAGAGUGUGGUGCUGAUAACCCCAAGGUUGCAGGUUUGAUCCUGUCUGGGACA